GAGAACUGGAUGUAUUUGACUUUCCUUCUCCUGAAGAAUAUGUAGGUUAACAACCCUGUGUUCCAGGCUCAUGGUCCUACAUGCGCAGAGUUGUGACUACCACCAAAACUCCAGAGUGAAUGAAAAGGCUCCUGUCAGUGAGUUCCUUCUCAGCCAUCACUAGGUGAACACUACACACAGGACCUUUCCUGUCCCAGUCUGAAGAGUCCAGUGCCUUCACUGGAUCCAGCCUUAGGUGACCAUCUGCAUUUUCAGUUAUACAAGUGCAGCUCAGCUCAGAGAAAUGUGCUUUGAUCUCAGAGUAAAAUGAGGCAACUGCCUUGCAACACAGCCACAAAGAAAUUGCUUCCCUUUUUCACCAGGAGAGUCAUGACAGCAAGCACCUUGCUCCUUACUUACUGCUGUAUGCUGUAUUAAAGGCAUCUGUAUUGAAUCAUUCAUUUGUGUAGCACUUUGUGCAUAGCUCAGUGAAUGAAGCAGUGAGCUAAUGAAUGAACAUUCCUACUUAAAACAGACAUAUAUAUCUUUCAAGUUGUAUUCCUUCAUCGUGAUGGCAUACCUCAGGUCAUUGGCUCAGUCCAAAGUAAAUCCAUAACAUGUCAUAGCUGGAUAGACCUCUGAUGAGAUUCUUUUCAACAAGUUAGCAUACUGUUAAGUCAUUAUUUUCAAGGUUUCUAACACAGAAGUCCCUUGUUGAACAACUUUGCUUUAUUUGGCCCACUGUGUGAAGGCACGUUUGAGUGAGAUUUUUAAUUCCCAAUUCAUGAAUAUUAUUCCAACACAAAUGUAAAUCUUUGCAAGCAUUGGGCUACUACUGUGUAUUCUAAUAACAUACAGAAGAUAAUAAUCAUUUAAUUAAAAUAAUUGCUGGAACAACUUUAU
rnacentral:lncRNA from 7 species